AACGAACGCUGGCGGCAGGCUUAACACAUGCAAGUCGAGCGCCCCGCAAGGGGAGCGGCAGACGGGUGAGUAACGCGUGGGGAUCUGCCUAGUGGUACGGAACAACACGGGGAAACUCGUGCUAAUACCGUAUAAGUCCUUCGGGAGAAAGAUUUAUCGCCAUUAGAUGAACCCGCGUCUGAUUAGCUAGUUAGUGAGGUAACGGCUCACCAAUGCGACGAUCAGUAGCUGGUCUGAGAGGAUGAUCAGCCACACUGGGACUGAGACACGGCCCAGACUCCUACGGGAGGCAGCAGUGGGGAAUAUUGGACAAUGGGCGCAAGCCUGAUCCAGACAUGCCGCGUGAGUGAUGAAGGCCUUAGGGUUGUAAAGCUCUUUCGCUGGGGAAGAUAAUGACGGUACCCAGAGAAGAAGCCCCGGCUAACUUCGUGCUAGCCGCCGCAGUAA
rnacentral:rRNA from 1 species